CUUAGCUGUCUCCUUUUUCUAAUCAGUGAAACUGAUCUCCCCGUGAAGAAGCGGGGAUAGAUCUAUAAGACGAGAAGACCCCAUGGAGCUUUAAGCUAGCUUCACAUCUAUCUUGUAUGCCCUCUAAUUAAAAGAACACUGCCUGCUCAGCUUUAGGUUGGGGUGACCGCGGAAUAUAACACAACUUCCACGAUGUAUAACGAUUUUCUUAUCUAAGAACUACUAUUCUAAGAAUUAGUAUUCUAACAUACAAUGAUCCGAUAAUCGAUCAACGGACUAAGUUACCCUGGGGAUAACAGCGCAAUCCAUUUCAAGAGCCCCUAUCGACAAAUGGG
rnacentral:rRNA from 1 species